CAGGGAGUAUCAGUUGGUAGCGUGCCGCACUUGGAAUGCGGAAGCCGCUGGUUUGAGUCCAGCCGCCCAGACCA
rnacentral:tRNA from 1 species